CUGUACAACACGUACAAAAACAUUACACCACUACUACGGGAUUUACAAUAUAAAUACGCCGUUUCAAGGUGAUGACCAUUUAUUUGAAUAUAAAGGCGAUACAAUUUUGUAUGGAAACCAUAUAUGCAUACCGUUGAACAAAACGUUAGCGCGAUUUAAUUGCGUACAGCGACAUCUAUCGUCGAGUUGCGAAAUUACAUACUUAGUAAAGUAAAGUAUAUGACAAUUUAUUAUAGAAUUAAACAUUCCGCCCGCCAUGGACGAAAGUUCAUAACACUAUUUCUAACAAAAAGAAAACGUUAUACACUUUUGUAAAUUAUUAAUUACUAACAAACAAUAUACUUAACUAACAACUUCGAACAUACAAUGUGAAAGAACAAAAACAUUACAUUAAUACAAAUCUUUAGAUUGACAAUUUUUUAAGUAGCAAUUGGUAAUAUAAUAAUUUUAGAAACAGGUCUCUUUAUAAUUUUAUCUUUACAUCGUAGACUUACUACACGAGUGAAAUUGUCCAGACCAGGGUGCUUCUCCAGUAUUAGACCGUACAGCCAACGAGAAGGAGGAAGAUCGUCUUCCUUUACAAGGACUACGUCUCCGACCUUUGGUUCAUUUAUUGCGAAUUUCCAUUUGUAGCGAUUUUGAAGUUGGGUUAAAUAUUCGUGGGACCAUCUACGCCAGAAGUUUUGCACCAUACGCUGAGUCAAAUGCCAACGAGUAAGGCUGCUCAUAGAAGCCUCCUCGAAAUUUUGCUUCCGGAACAAGCACAAGUGGUUCGCCAACUAAGAAAUGCCCUGGUGUUAGUGGCUUUGGAUCCCCUGGACUACUGCUUAUUUGGGAAAUAGACCUUGAAUUAAGACAAGCUUCAAUCUGCGAUAGUACAGUACUCAUUUCUUCGAAGGUUAAAGUACUAUUUCUAACAACUCGUUUUAAGUGGUACUUUGUAGAUUUGAUUCCGGCUUCCCACAAUCCUCCAAAAUUAGGAGAAUGCGGAGGAAUAAAGUGCCACUUAGUACUAUUAUUUUCCAACCAAUCGACUAUUUCCGGUAUUAUACUUGAUUUUUCCUUUUUAUGAAGGAUUUUAAGUUCCUUUGCACUUCCAACAAAUGUAGUACCAUUAUCACUCCAUAAUUCAGAUACAUGGCCUCUUCUUGCAACAAACCGCUUAAAGGCUGCCAAGAAUGCUUGAGAUGUCAUAUCACUUACCAUUUCCAAAUGGAUGGCCUUUGUCGCCAUACAAAUAAAAAGACAUAUGUAUCCUUUGGUAGCGUGAUAACCUCGUCCUUUAGUUGUUCUUAUACUGAUUGGACCUGCAUAAUCGACACCGCUACGUAGAAAUGGUCUAGAUGGUUUUACUCGAGCAAUUGGUAGUUGACCCAUUAAUGGAUUAGUUGGUUGUGCAGAAUAACGAACACAUGCUACACAUUUCCGAAUGUACAUUCUAACAGCACUUCUUGCGUUAACAAUCCAAUAUUUAGUUCUUAAAUAAUUUAGUGUUAUUUGAGGUCCUCCGUGAAACGUUAAAACAUGAGCUUCCCCUAUGACAAGAUUUGUAAAAUGUGAUUUAUUAGGUAUAAGAAUCGGGUGCAUCAUAUCAUGGUCGAUAUCAGCGCUUUGCAAUCGUCCGCCAACUCUCAAUAUGCCAUCGCCAUCAAGAACAGGAUUUAAUGAGAUCUCAUCUCGACCUUCACUAAGGCAGUGGCCAGUAACACUUGGCUUUGAAUACUUGAGAAGCAGGUAACAACAUUAGACUCACCUUGUGAUGACGUCGCAGACACGACAUCUUUAGCGCCCGAGUUAUUUUCCUCGGACUGUUGAGGUGCAGUUUUAGGAUGUAAGAGAGAAUGAUGGCGCUUUUUACACACUCGGCAACGAGUAGACUGAUGACAUGAUAUAACCGAAUGAUUCGGACCCAAGCAGUUGAAGCAUAAACCCCUGGACUGAACAAACCCACGUCGUGAGUCUAUAUUUUCUUUACAAAACUUUUUACAAAAACAUAACUUAUGACUUUCUUUACAAUAAGGACAAGCAGUAGCAGUUACAUGAAAUGAUUUAGCAGUGACAUUCUUAUUACAGUGCUUUGAAUUUUUAUUAUCACUAAAUUCUAAAGAUCUAAAUCUUUGUUCUAAAAACAAUUUAAAUUGAUCUAUAGUAGGCAAUUCUUGUGUUAAAUUACAAACUUUAGCUUCCCAUUGCCUCCUAGAUUCAGUAUCUAAUUUAAGACAUAAAAUGUAAAUUAUUAAAACAUCCCAAUUGUCUAUAUUUAAAUUUAAAUUUUUCAAAGCAUUCAUACACUCAUUGGUAUUAUCUAAUAAUUCUCUUAACGACUGAGACGAUUCUGAAACAAUAUUUCUUUGACUCAUAAACUUCUUUAGAAUACAAUUAAUAAUAUACCUUCUAUUAUUGUAGCGAUUUUCCAAUUGAUCCCAACAUAAAUUGUAAUUUGAACUAGUAAUAGGUAUGUGACGUAGUAGUUGUUCUGCUUCACCAGAGAGAUGUGAUUUUAAAUAGUGCAACUUUUGAACAUUAUCUAAUGAAGCGUUGUUAUGAAUCAAAGAAACGAAUAAAUCGCGGAAGGAAGUCCAUUCUAUAUAAUUUCCAGAAAAAGUAGGAAUUGUAAUUUUAGGUAAUCGUACAUUUAUUAAAUUAUUUUGACCUACUGAUUCGUUAAUUUGUAAACCAACAUUAUUUUUAUCAUUUAAUUGCAAACCCCUCAACGUUUCCUUUAAUAUCGACUUGUAUUCUAAAUAGGCUUCCUCCGUCAAAUCAUAUGUAUCAUCUUCAAAAUAAUCUGAACUAUCUAAAUUUUCUGUAUCAAAUUGACUUACAAGUUUUCUAUGAGUGUCUUUAAAUGAAAGCCAUUGCGUUUCUAAAUUUUCAAGGCGAGCUUCUACAUAUGUAAAUGUUAGACGCUCCUUUGGAGACUUUUUAAAAUUAAC
rnacentral:misc_RNA from 1 species